GAUGAAGGACGUAGCGAAAUGCGAUACUUGGUGUGAAUUGCAGAAUCCCGUGAACCAUCGAGUCUUUGAACGCAAGUUGCGCCCGAAGCCAUCAGGUUGAGGGCACGUCUGCCUGGGCGUCACAUAUCGUUGCCCAAUGCCUAUUGCAGUGCAAUAGGAAUUUCUAGGGCGAAUGAUGGCUUCCCGUGAGCGUUGUUGCCUCGCGGUUGGUUGAAAAUCGAGUCCUUGGUAGGGUGUGCCAUGGUAGAUGGUGGUCGAGUUAGAACGAUACCGAUCAUGUGCAUGCUCCCCAAAAUAUGGCCUCUAUGACCCACACGCGUCUUUUGACGCUCAUGACGAGACCUCAGGUCAGGCGGGGCUACCCGCUGAAUUUAAGCAUAUCAAUAAGCGGAGGA
rnacentral:misc_RNA from 1 species